AGAGUUUGAUCCUGGCUCAGAACGAACGCUGGCGGCAGGCCUCAUACAUGCAAGUCGAGCGGACGGACCCCUUCGGGGGCGAGUUAGCGGCGAACGGGUGAGUAACAGGUGGAUGAUCUGCCUCCCGGUGGGGGAUAACGGCUGGAAACGGCCGCUAAUACCGCAUUCGGUUGCUGUGCUUCGGCAUAGUAAAGAAAGGCGCUUCACGGCGCCGCCGGGAGAUGAGUCCGCCCCCCAUUAGCUAGUUGGCGGGAUAAUAGCCCACCAAGGCUUCGAUGGGUAGCCGAGCUGAGAGGUUGAUCGGCCACACUGGAACUGAGACACGGUCCAGACACCUACGGGUGGCAGCAGUAGGGAAUAUUGGACAAUGGGCGAAAGCCUGAUCCAGCCAUGCCGCGUGAGCGAAGACGGCCCUUGGGUUGUAAAGCUCUUUUCUGAGGGAAGAAUAUCCGGGGUAGGAAAUGCCCCCGGCUUGACGGUACCUCAGGAAUAAGGAACGGCUAACUCCGUGCCAGCAGCCGCGGUAAUACGGAGGUGGCAAGCGUUGUUCGGAAUUACUGGGCGUAAAGGGAGCGCAGGCGGCCAAGUCAGUCUGAAGUGAAAGCCCGGGGCUUAACCCCGGAAUAGCUUUGGAUACUGCCUGGCUUGAGUGUGCGAUAGGAAAGCGGAAUUCCAGGUGUAGCGGUGAAAUGCGUAGAUAUCUGGAGGAACACCGGUGGCGAAAGCGGCUUUCUGGCGCAUAACUGACGCUGAGGCUCGAAAGCGUGGGGAGCGAACGGGAUUAGAUACCCCGGUAGUCCACGCCGUAAACG
rnacentral:rRNA from 1 species